ACAUGCCUACAACAUAGCGUUAAUGCAUCAAAUCCAAUUAGAAAUUCGUAGUUAAGUGUGCUCAUGAUAGAGUAGUACUGGGAUGGGUGACUUCCCAGGAAUUCCUAGUGUUUUACAUGCC
rnacentral:rRNA from 1 species